UUAAAGCCCGAAUGCAAGCGAUCUAACUUUGAAGAGUGUUUAGUUGAGUAUACUGAAGAUUGAAAUGUAGAGGGGUACACACCUGCCAUUCAAUUGAUAGUUGGUGGUUAAAUGUCAUACGAGCUGUGUUAAUAUCUGGGUGUGUUCGAAACAUGUAAUGGUGUCUAAUAAAUGUUGUCCACAGAUUGUUGUUAAAUGAUUUAAUUGAAACCCGAAUGCCUUUCACAGAUUCUUUAAGAGAAGUAUUAUUAUUAGUCAUUUGCAAUUCGGUUAAGAUGGGUAUUCGCUUAUGUUACAAAUGGGAUUAGCCCAAAUAAAUGGUUAAAGUUUAGAAUGCUGUGUUUUCAAUCAAAUUAUCUAUGGGUUUUCAGAUACACACCUUACACAGCUCUAAAGUUGGAUUAAUAGCAUCCAUCUUUUUAAAAGUGUGUAGUAUCUUAUGAGCUCUGUUUUCCGAAUGGAUAAU
rnacentral:rRNA from 14 species